rnacentral:rRNA from 1 species
AUUGAACGCUGGCGGCAGGCCUAACACAUGCAAGUCGAGCGGAUGAAGGGAGCUUGCUCCUGGAUUCAGCGGCGGACGGGUGAGUAAUGCCUAGGAAUCUGCCUGGUAGUGGGGGAUAACGUCCGGAAACGGGCGCUAAUACCGCAUACGUCCUGAGGGAGAAAGUGGGGGAUCUUCGGACCUCACGCUAUCAGAUGAGCCUAGGCCGGAUUAGCUAGUUGGUGGGGUAAAGGCCUACCAAGGCGACGAUCCGUAGCUGAUCUGAGAGGGUGAUCAGUAACACUGGAAGUUAGACACGGUACAGACUCAUACGGGAGGCAGCAGUAGGGAAUCUUCGGCAAUGGGCGAAAGCCGGACGGAGCAACGCCGCGUGAGUGAUGAAGGUCUUCGGAUCGUAAAACUCUGUUAUUAGGGAAGAACAAAUGUGUAAGUAACUAUGCACGUCUUGACGGUACCUAAUCAGAAAGCCACGGCUAACUACGUG